rnacentral:lncRNA from 1 species
GUCGAGUCAAUAUCCUGUCAAAAAUCAUAGUAGACUUGUUGUGAUAUCUAUAAGGCUUGCUAUGGAGAUUGAUGUGGGUUUGUCUUGGUGCAUAUUAGAUGCUUUACGAUAUAUUUUGGAUAUAUUGCUUUGUUGUGUAUCCACAAGGAUAGUAUUUUUCAGAUAUGGCUGUAUGGAAAUAAAGAGUCUGACUUAACUAAAAAUACUAUAGUUU